GACGAACGCUGGCGGCGCGCUUAACACAUGCAAGUCGAGCGAGAACCUGGGCUUCGGCCCUGGGGACAGCGGCGAACGGGUGAGGAACACGAGGGUAAUCUGCCCUUGACAUCGGGAUAGCCCGGGGAAACCCGGAUUAAUACUGAAUAGCCUCCGGAGCCUUCGGGCGCCGGAGAAAAGGUAGCUGCGGCCUCUGGUCAAGGAUGCGCACGCGGAGGAUUAGCUUGUUGGCGGGGUAACGGACCACCAAGGCGACGAGCCGUAGCAGGUCUGAGAGGACGAUCAGCCACACUGGGACUGAGACGCGGCCCAGACGCCUACGGGAGGCAGCAGUGGGGAAUCUUGCGCCAAUGCGGGAAACCGUGACGCAGCGACGCCGCGUGGGGGAAGAAGGCCUUCGGGUUGUAAACCUCUUUCAGGAGGGACGAAGCCACUCGGGUUAAUAGCCCAGAGGGUGACGGUACCUCCAGAAGAAGCCCCGGCUAACUACGUGCCAGCCGCCGCGGUAAUAC
rnacentral:rRNA from 1 species